AUGAGUGAGUGACAAGGUGCAGGGGCAACCAAUGGAAAAGAAAAGACAUCUGGUGAAAAUGAUGGACAGAAGAAAGUUCAAGAGGAAUUUGACAUUGACAUGGAUGCACCAGAGAUAGAACGUGCAGUGGUGGCCAUUCAGUCUCGGUUCAGAAAAUUCCAGAAGAAAAAGGCUGGGUCUCAGUCCUAGCGGGAGAGCCCCCUCCUAGUCCACCUGACAACACCAAACUCAACCAUCAUCUGUCAAGAAAUUAAAAGAACAAUACUCUAGAGAGAAGUCAUCCACACACAAUCCACACACACACAGCAAACCUCCAAUGCAUGUACAGAAACCUGUGAUAUUUAUACCCUUGUAGGAAGGUAUAGACAAUGGAACUGUGAGUAGCCUAAUCUCUAUGUUUCUCUCCAUUUUCAUUCCUCCUGCAACUAUUUUCCUCGAUGUUGUAAUAAAAUGAAGUUGAGAUGAGUGAAAAAAAAAAA